AGCCAAGGCCCGGAUUUGAACCGGGGUAUAGCUGAUCUGCAGUCAGCCGCGUGUGCCUCUCCGCCACCUUGGC
rnacentral:tRNA from 1 species